AACUCUAUCUGUCACGUCAUAUGCCAUAGCCUGGGAUCCCUUUUAUAUUCAUUUCAGGUUCAAAGAUGAAAGUUGUAUUUGUAGUAAAAUCAUGGUAAUCGUGACUCCUACAAUAGUAGGUAAAACCCAGUAAACAAGACAUUUACCAUGUUUUUUUUUUUACCACAGUAACUGUAGUUUUACUAUGGUACAGUAAUAGCACAACAAUCACCAAAAUAACUAUAGUUGUACCACUGUAAUGGUAGUGUUUUAAUGUGCUUUUAUAUGACAUAUUUCACAGUAAUCACAUUUACUGUACCAUGCUUGUAAUACCUUUUUAAUGUAAAUAAAAAAAAAAAAAACAUUUUUCCCAUCUUGCAGUUCAUUCAUAUUAGUUUAUAUCUUAAAUAUUUUGUUCACAGUUCACUAUUAACAUUCUGUAUAUAAUUCUGUUUUAUUUUCUUUCCCCUUGUAUUUAUAUUUAGCUGAAAAGACGUAAAGGAAGCAGUCACCCCAGUCGUGUUUGUGGAGAGGUAUUCCUUCAGAAAUGGAGAAGACAGAAAGCUGCAGAGGCAGGAUUGUUUGCAGAUAAUGCUGUUCUUCUUUUUCAGAAGUUUUUGGUGAGCCAACCCUCACACACCUUCCUAAAAAUUAAAAGAGCUAUUACUGAGUCUCAGCGAAUCUUGCCAUGAUCAGCUCUUCCCAGAAGAGAAGGAAGACCAAGGAAAUUAUUUGCUCAGGAUGAGGAAUGAAGACGGCCAUCUUGUGCUCAAACGAACAGAAGUCCACUGAUGGUCUCGUCAGCCAAAUGAGGGGUUUUGACCAAGUGAUGCUCUUGAAAGGAGUUUAAGAAGAGGAUGUGGUAAAUUGUCUUCAGAGAAAAAGCUUCUCAAAAGGUCUUAAAACAGCUUGAAGAAUGGUCUGGGAUCUUAGGACUGAGAGAUCCUCUGGCUGAGAACAAGCUACAGCACAUCAAUGCUAGAUAUCAGCCACA